rnacentral:lncRNA from 1 species
UGCCAACGUGGGCCAUUUAACAUUAUUGACAAAUGAUGUCUAAAAUCAAGAGCAAACUUCAUUUGUAGCCAUCCGGAAAAAACUAAUGACAAUAGAUAGCCACAAAAUAUAUCAUACAAUUAACAGCCCAAAACCAAUUAAAGGGCUAGCCCAAAACCACUGCCACUCUCCUCCCUUCAAAUUUCAAACUUUCAACUCCGUAACCUACUUUAAUCCAUACCUUCCCCUUACUCCGUAACCUAGACUGUAGAUUUUUCUAUACACAGACUAGCCACAAAUCAAUCAAAAUCAUAGAAUUAUCUACUCUAAAGGAAAAAAAAUCACAAAACUACUAUAGUUAACGGAAACAAUUCAAAAGGUUAUAACCAAGAAUGUUGAACUACUCUAAGCGGGAUAAUCCCUAGCAUCAACUCAUUCUCAUAUGGUGUCAAAUUUAAAUCCAAGAACAAAGCCUUUCAGUACCCAAAAUCCUUUCUCUGUCGUCUCAACAACUUCACCAGCAUAAUUAUCUUCAAUAUCAUGUUGUUUAUGUUUCUGCAAUUCACCCAAUUUAUCGCGGUUCUUUCUCAUGUGGCCACCUAAAGCUUGUCCAAGAGAGAAUUCCUCUCCACAAAAGGAGCAUUCAUAUUUCUUUCUUGUUUUGUUUAAUUGGAUUUGCGGCUAUGUUGAAUUUUGGUUUCUUGUGACUUGCUCUAUGGCUCCCCAAAGUUUGGAAAGAUUCAAAUUGCUUCUUACAAGUCCUGCACUCGAAAAGGGUGGCAGUGAAUUUUUUAAGUGUGAUUAUACAUAAAAAAAAAAAUAGACUUGUCACUAUACAAAAAUAUAUUAAAUAGACUGUCACUAUACAAUUUAUAUAUAAUAGACUGUCACUAUACAACAUAUAUAUAAAAUAAACUGUCACUAUACAAAAUAUAUAUAAAAUAGACUGUCACUAUACAAAAUAGACUGUCACUAUACAAAAUAUAUACUAAAUAGACUGUCACUAUACAAAAAUAUACAAAAUAGACUUUCACUAUUAAAAAAUAUACAAAAUAGACUGUCACUAUAUAAAAAAAAUACAAAAUAGACAUUUCGGGGUAUUAGAUAUAGUAUGUUUGGGCCAGAGUGCCAUUUCGUGUCAAUGGAAGUGCAAUAUGGACUAUUAAACUUUUGAGGUGCUACAGAUGGUAAUUUUUUCUAAAAUCAAUUUACAAACAAAUCAUACGGCCCAAGUAGCACUUAAUUAUGAACUAACCAACCCAAACUGAGACAGAAUACUACUUACUUGAUUAACGUUACUUAAAUCUCAGACAACAUACCAAUAAAUAUUAUACAAAUAAUUGAACAUAUGACCAUUUAUAUCAAUAUAAACUAGUAGUAAAUAAGCAGACUUUAUUCUAAUAAAUAACACCCAAAUAAUGAAUUGAAAGAGAAGUUAAAGAAAGGAUGGACCUUUAUUGCAAAAAUUCCCAGCAAGUCCAGUGAAGAAAAGCUCCAAAGCAUUAAUCCUCAAGUGAACUUCGGACUAGACACUUGAACCGGUUUUCACACUGGUUUUAGGUGGUUUUUCAGCUGUAUUUUUGUUGAUUUUCGUGACUUAUUUCGGGUGGAGUUUUGGUGGUUUUUUGAGUGUUUUGCAGCUGAGUUUCAGCUGCGGUUUUCGGGGCUGUUUUCGUGGAGUUUUUGACUCGAUUUUGCCAUGUUUGUUGGGCUUUUGGGGGACUGGUUUGGGAGUGUCUUGGGGCUAAUUUUCAGAGCUCGUUUUGGGGUCGUUUUUGGCUGCUUUUCAUGGCAAGCUGGAGGUGCUUUGAAGUCAUUUUGGGACUGUUUUUAGGCUGCUUUUUUCGGCUGCAUUUUGGGGUGGAAAGAUGCUUUGUUUUGCUGGUUUUUGGUGCUAUUUUGCCGUAUUUUUUGGGCUGCUUUUGUAGCAGGUUUUCAAGCUGAGUUUUCAGAUGGUUUUGAGGAGUUUUUCAGCUCAAUUCCAUGGCUAGCAAUGGAGUUUUUCGGGCAGUUUUGGGCAGAGGCUGGAGGUGCUUUUGGGGGCCGAUUUUGGAGGUUGUUUAGGUGACGAAAAUAGUAUUUGACGGAGGUGAUACUGGCUGGUUUCAAUGGAGGAACUAUGGCUGUUUUUCUCCGGGAAGAAGAAGAUGUUGCCCCCUUUUUAGCUCACACGGUUUCUUUCCCUUUUUGUGCUCCUUUUUAAAAAAAAAAAAAUCUCCCCCUUUUCUUCCUCAUUUUUGUGUACAUAUAAUAAGAAAAGAUAAGAGGAGGACGAUUGAGAAUGAAUGAUGUGGCAAUGAAAUAGUGUAAGGAGUGAGAUGAUGGGACAAACAAAUAGUAUAAGAAGUGGGGAUGGAACAAGAAAAUAGUAUAGGGAAGGUGGAAGGCAAUUUAAUUAGAUUUGGUCCGUAUUUAAAAUAAAUAUUUGCGACCACUAUGUAGUAGACUGUGUAAAAUAAUAUUACAUAUUCUCUAAUAAAGCCUAGCAAAAAAUAUAAGAACUAAAAUAUCAAUAUCAAGCAUAGAAAAUAUUAAACACGAAAAAGAAUUAUAGAAAACUCGAGGUGCUCACAUCAUGCCCCUCUUUGCUUGGUAACAAGAAGACUUUUCAAGCAAAGAAAAGGUGAGCAUUGUGACUAAUUUUUUUACCAACCCAUUAUUCAAAAAAUGAAGAAAAGAGUGCAACCGAGUCCUGGUUUUGGACAACCUACAUAUCCCGGAUUAUAAGGGAAUCAUGUCGCGUGUAGUUCAAGAAGAACGAUGGAAUAAUGAGUUUAAGAGUCGAGUGAGAUUCCGUCGAGGCUCCGGUCUGCGGUCCUGUUUAUUGCAUCAAAAUAAAAAAGUAAAUUACACUAAAGAAAAUAAAAAAUACAAGGUCAUAUAUACUCUUCUAGUGUCAAGUGUUGUAUCUUCACUUGAGAUCUCGUAAAUCCGCAUUGGAAGGUGGGUGCCUUAAAUUUGGAGCUUGAUGACCCGCAUUUGGAGGUGUGUGCCUUGAAUUUGAGGAUUGUUUACCUGCAUUGGACGGUGGGUGCCUUCAGAUUGAAGAUUGAUUCUUGAAGCUUGGGCGUGAACUCAGACUUGGAUUGAAUCUUGAAUGCUCGCUUUUUAAGUAGAAGCCGAGAAGAUGGAUUUUGAGAUGCUAGUUGAUGUAUGCAUUAUGUCAAAGCUUGACCCCAACUGUCUUUAUGCUCGAACAACCUUCUUUUUUUAUCAGAGUUUGGAACUUCAUUCUUGGACAUCAAACAUGUGUUAUGCGGGGAACCUGCAAGACAUCACAAGACAAAUAAAAAAACAAAAUAUUUCUACCCCAAUUUACACUAGGAAAAUUUUGUGAGGUAUUAGCAAAAACUGUAAACUAGUUUUUAUUUUUUUUAAUUAAGAGAAAAGAAAGCAUCGGGUAGUGUAUACCCUUUAAAAUACGACUAGGGAAUGAUGUACCCUAUGUCAAAAGAAAAACAACUAGGUAAUAUGGUACCUUAUGUUGGGAAAUGCAAUAGGGGAAGGCGUAAACUAUACUAAUAUGCGACUAGGGAAUGGUGUACCCUAUGUCAAAAAGAAAACACAACUAGGGAUUGGUGUACCCUAUGUUGAAAAAUGCAAAUAGUUUAGUGGUAUACCCUAUGUUAAUUUUUUCUCUUUUUUUUAAUUAUCCUAGGAGAAAAUUCAUCAAACUAGGGUUUCGUAUCUUAGGAGAAAAUUUAUCGGACUAAGACUUUUUAUCCUAAGAGAAAAUCAUCAUACUAGAUUUUUAUUUUUUUAUUUAUCUUAGGAGAAAGAUUUAUCAGACUAAGACUUCUAUCCUAUGAAAAAAUUUAUCAGACUGGGUUUUCUUAUCUUAGAAGAAAGAUUCAUCAUACUAAGUUUUCUUAUCUUAGGAGAAAGAUUCAGCAGACUAAGAUUUUGAUCCUAGGAGAAAAUUCAUCAGACUAGGACUUCGUAUCUUAGGAGAAAAUUCAUCAGACUGCCACUAUACAAUUUAUAUACAAUAUACUGUCACUAUACAAAAUAUAUGCAAAAUAAACUGUUACUAUAUAAAAUAUAUACAAAAUAGACUGUCACUAUACAAAAUAUAUACUAAAUAGACUGUCACUAUACAAAAUAUAUACAAAAUAGACUGAUAUUAUAUAAAACAUAUACAAAAUAGACUGUCAAUAUACAAAAUAGAUAUUUCGGGUUAUUAGAUGUAAUGUGUUUGGGAUGGAGGGCCAUUUCGUGUCAAUGGAGGAAAAAUAUGGGCUAUUAAAAUUUUGAGGGGCUAUAGAAGUUAGUUUUCUCUAAAAUCAAUUUACAAACAAAUCAUACGGCCAAAGUAGCACUUAAUUAUGAACUAACCAACCCAAACUAAGACAAAAUACUUCUGACUUGAUUAACGUUAAUUAAAUCUCAGACAACUAACCAAUAAAUAUUAUACAAAUAAUUGAACAUAUGAACAUUUAUAUCAAUGUAAACUAGCAGUAAAUAAGCAGACUUUAUUCUAACAAAUAACAGCCAAAUAAUGAAUUGAAAGAGAAGUUAAAGAAAGGAUGAACCUUUAUUGCUAAAAUUUCCAGCAAGUACAGUGAGAGAAGCUCCAACACAUUAAUCCUCAAGUGAGCUAUGGACUAGAAACUUGAAUCGGAAUCGGCGAUCCCAAACAGGCGGAACUCGAGACGGUGGUUUCGGGCUGAUUUUCACACUUGUUUUGGGUGGUUUUUCAGCUGUAGUUUUGUUGAUUUUCGUGACUUAUUUCGGGUGGAGUUUUGGUGGUUUUUUGAGUGUUUUGCAGCUGAGUUUCAGCUGCGUUUUCGGGGCUGUUUUCGUGGAGUUUUUGACUCGAUUUCGCCAUGUUUGUUGGGGUUUCUGGGGGCUGGUUUGGGGGUGUUUUGGAGCUAAUUUUCAGAGCUCGUUUUGGGGUCAGAUUUGGCUACUUUUCAUGGCAAGUUGGAGGUGCUUUGAAGUCAUUUUGGGACUGCUUUCAGGCUGCUUUUUUCGGCUGCGUAUUGGGGUGGAAAAAUGCUUUGUUUUGCUGGUUUUUGGUGCUAUUUUGCCAUAUUUUUGGGCUGAUUUUGUAACAGGUUUUCAAGCUGAGUUUUCAUAUGGUUUUGAGGAGUUUUUCAGCUCACUUCCAUGGCUGGCAAUGGAGUUUUUUCGGGCAGUUUUGGGCAGAGGUUGGAGGUGCUUUUGGGGGCCGAUUUUGGAGGUUUUAUUAGGUGACGAAAAUGGUGUUUGCCGGAAGUGAUAUUGGCUGGUUUCAAUGGUGGAACUAUGGCUAUUUUUCUCCAAGAAGAAGAAGACGUUGCCCCUUUUUUAGCUCACUCGGUUUCUUUCCAUUUUGGUGCUCCUUUUAAAAAAAAAAAAAAAGAUCUCCCCCUUUUCUUCCUCGUGUAUGUACAUAUAAUAAGAAAAUAUGAGAGGAAGAGAGUUG